rnacentral:lncRNA from 1 species
CUGGUGUGUAUUCAUGAUAAGCACAUCUUUCUUUGUAGGAGAGAAAACAAAGAAGAGUAAAAACUAGAUUGUCAUGUAUGUUAUUCAGAAUUCUUUGACUGCAAACCAACCAGAGUCAAAAAGGAAAAUACACUGGCUUAUGAAACCUUAUCACAAAUAUGGCAGGGACAAAGUCUUCAGAUUAUCCUAAACCUGAUCAACUGUAGCCACUGGGCCAAUAUUCCCCUCCUCCAAACGGGCCAUUUUCCUGGUGCCCUGUCGCCCUAGCUUGGGUCAAACACUCCUAGAAACGAAAAGGUAUGGUUCACAAUAGACAUUCUAGAAAUAGAUUGUUUUUGACAUGUCGCAAAAUUUAUUCACACCUUGGAACUAAAGCGUUUUCCCACUGAAACCAACACCAGCCAGGCCGCCCCUGGAAUGUAAGGAGGUCCAAAUAUGGGAU